rnacentral:tRNA from 1 species
GGAGCUGUGGCUCAGUGGCAGAGCGCUUGCCUAGCAUGUGUGAGGCACUGGGUUCAAUCCUCAGCACCA